rnacentral:rRNA from 1 species
GACGAACGCUGGCGGCGUGCUUAACACAUGCAAGUCGAACGGAAAGGCCCUGCUUUUGUGGGGUGCUCGAGUGGCGAACGGGUGAGUAACACGUGAGUAACCUGCCCUUUACUUUGGGAUAACUUCAGGAAACUGGGGCUAAUACCGGAUAGGAGCUCCUGCUGCAUGGUGGGGGUUGGAAAGUUUCGGCGGUUGGGGAUGGACUCGCGGCUUAUCAGCUUGUUGGUGGGGUAGUGGCUUACCAAGGCUUUGACGGGUAGCCGGCCUGAGAGGGUGCCCGGCCACAUUGGGACUGAGAUACGGCACAGACUCCUACCGGAGGCAGCAGUGGGGAAUAUUGCACAAUGGGCGGAAGCCUGAUGCAGCAACGCCGCGUGCGGGAUGACGGCCUUCGGGUUGUAAACCGCUUUCGACUGUGACGAAGCGUGAGUGACGGUAAUGGGUAAAGAAGCACCGGCUAACUACGUG